UACGUAGGGUGCGAGCGUUAAUCGGAAUUACUGGGCGUAAAGAGCUCGUAGGCGGUCUGUCGCGUCUGCUGUGAAAUCCCGAGGCUCAACCUCGGGUCUGCAGUGGGUACGGGCAGACUAGAGUGCGGUAGGGGAGAAUGGAACUCCUGGUGUAGCGGUGGAAUGCGCAGAUAUCAGGAAGAACACCGAUGGCGAAGGCAGUUCUCUGGGCCGUAACUGACGCUGAGGAGCGAAAGCGUGGGGAGCGAACAGG
rnacentral:rRNA from 1 species